rnacentral:rRNA from 1 species
UACAGAGGGUGCGAGCGUUAAUCGGAAUUACUGGGCGUAAAGCGUGCGUAGACGGCUAUCUAAGUCGGGUGUGAAAGCCCCGGGCUCAACCUGGGAAUGGCAAUGGAUACUGGACAGCUAGAGUGCGGUAGAGGGUAGUGGAAUUCCCGGUGUAGCAGUGAAAUGCGUAGAUAUCGGGAGGAACACCUGAGGCGAAGGCGGGCUACUGGGCCGAUACUGACGCUGAGGCGCGAAAGCCAGGGGAGCAAACGGG